GUCCCACAAUUGUCCAGCCACAAGGCUAAAUCGCAGGGGCAAUUUUGCACAUUUAUUGAAGUCCCGUUUUGUAGAUUUGUGUCUUGCUCAAGGGUAAUUAUGUCCAUUUGUCAAAAGCUCAAUUACUGUUAUACCCUCGUUGUACCGACGUGUUUCAUUUGUGUUCAAUUAUUUGAGGUCAAUAAUGGAAGUCCACUGUUCUAACCUGACACGCCAUAAGAGAUGAUGUUUGACUUCUCUCUCAUCCUCAUCUCUCAUUUCUCUGGAUCAGAAAGCACCAUGCUCUUCCAAAAUGAUGACUACUCGCAUCUCCUCCGUCUCCGCCGACUUCCACCGCAUCUCUCUGGAGACCAUGUCCGCGGUUGAUUAGUACCGAGGGUGAAGUCCAAUGGAAGAUGACGCAGCAGAACGAUUGAGUUUUGUAAUCGAUUUGAUUGAGAAUAGAGCUAAGGACCGUAAGGAGGUCUGGAGCAAGAGCAGAAUGAUUUGAUUCAUGUAUGGGGCCUUGAUCUUACUCGCCGGAUAUGUGCGGAGCUAUGAAGCCAAAACUCCAACUCUGUGUCUAUUUCAUUCUGAGCUGAGCCAAAACUCCAACUAUCUGUUUAUUUUAUUCUGGGUGAAUGAGCAGGGUAUGAAACGAUUUCUAUUUUAUUAACUCCCUACAAAUUAUAUGGGAAGGGAAAGAAAACAUGACGAGAGAAUAUGAUAUAUUGAUGUUGCAGAGGCCACAUGAGAAGAUAGGUGUUGCUGAUGCUCAAUCGAUAGAGCGUAAGGUGCUGCCGUCCUACGAGAUUAGGGCUUAUCAACUGACGGAAAGCCACCAUUUGAAAGGGUAAGGAACUAAAGAACCUAGCAUGUUGUGUUAUAUGAGUUUAUGACAUAGUUCUUUAUCUAAGGCUUUAAAAACUAAACGUUGCAGCCAAAUUGAGAGGCUUGCCAAUUUGUGGCCAAUUUUGCCAAUUUUAUCCCUCAAUUGUCCAGCCACAAGGAUAAACUGCGGGGGUAAUUUCGUACAUUCAUUGAGGUCUGUUUUUGUAUAUUUGUGUCUUGGCCAGGGGUAAUCACGUCCAUUGAUUAAAAGCUCAGCUACUGUUUUACCCUCACUGUACCUACGUGUUUCAUUUGUGUCCAUCUCUAUUUUUGCGUUUUCCUAUUUGAUUUUGCUUUCUUUUGUUUGUCUCACAGACUUGCAGGUUUCGAUAAUCAUGUCUUCUUCUCCUUCUCUGGACAAGGCUGAAAUGAUUGAAGAGAAACUAAAGCGGUUUGAGAAGGUGAAUGAGUGAUGAAAAGAUAGGCGAAGAAGCUCAUUGAAGCCACAAAUUCGCAGAAAUCAGCACCCAAAACCAUCAGACCCAAGGAGUCAAUGAUCUAACUGUCAUUGGAACUUGGAAGGUAUUGAUUUGAAUCAGUGCAGCCUAUUUGCUUUCUUUACUGGGACCAAAUGGUCUUUCACUUCCAUAUUUAGGCUAUGUUUGAGUCAUGGAUUUGUGCACAAAUUUACGGAGGAAAAAAAUAGGGAAAUGGAACAAAUGAAUUCUUCUUUGUCACUUGGGUUUUCUUAUCUUUUCCUUUCCUUUCCUUUCCUUUAUAUCUUCCUUCCUGCGUUUGUAAAUCUUGUGACAGAGACAUAAUUUAAGUUUGGCUUUGUUAUUUUUUUUAAAAAUUGAGUUAAUUGACAAGUUGGUUUUGCCCAUUGCAAUCUUUGGUGGUUUGUUCCAUACUUCAGUAAAUUCCACAGGUCUUUUAAUCUUAACUG